GACGAACGCUGGCGGCGUGCCUAAUACAUGCAAGUAGAACGCACAGUUUAUACCGUAGCUUGCUACACCAUAAACUGUGAGUUGCGAACGGGUGAGUAACGCGUAGGUAACCUGCCUGGUAGCGGGGGAUAACUAUUGGAAACGAUAGCUAAUACCGCAUAAUAUUGAUUAUUGCAUGAUAAUUGAUUGAAAGAUGCUAUUGCAUCACUACCAGAUGGACCUGCGUUGUAUUAGCUAGUAGGUGAGGUAACGGCUCACCUAGGCGACGAUACAUAGCCGACCUGAGAGGGUGAUCGGCCACACUGGGUCUGAGACACGGCCCAGACUCCUACGGGAGGCAGCAGUAGGGAAUCUUCGGCAAUGGACGAAAGUCUGACCGAGCAACGCCGCGUGAGUGAAGAAGGUUUUCGGAUCGUAAAGCUCUGUUGUAAGAGAAGAACGGGUGUGAGAGUGGAAAGUUCACACUGUGACGGUAUCUUACCAGAAAGGGACGGCUAACUACGUG
rnacentral:rRNA from 1 species